rnacentral:misc_RNA from 1 species
AAGUCGUUCCAAGGUUUCCGUAGGUGAACCUGCGGAAGGAUCAUUUCCACGUAUCCAACGCCAAACAACCCUGUGAACCUUGAACGUGCUCCUGCAGCCCCAUGAAAUCAGCAAUCCCUGGUAAAUCAUUGUUGACCAGCUUUUGAGUCAGGGAUCUCUGCCGAAACGGCUGUUCAGUACCGAGCGCAGUGUAAGCGACCUGCCUAAGCGAUCAGUGUCUGAAAGUGUCAUUGAUUGUGUAAGGAUGGCGCCGCGGCAACCGCUCACGCCCCUUUAUCACCCCAGUUUCCGACUGCAGCCGAUAAUACAGACGCCGUAAAAAACUGAACAACUGUUUACAAUGUAUCUUAGUUCUC